ACGAACGCUGGCGGCAGGCUUAACACAUGCAAGUCGAACGCCCCGCACGGGGAGUGGCAGACGGGUGAGUAACGCGUGGGAAUCUACCCAUCCCUACGGAAUAACGCAUGGAAACGUGUGCUAAUACCGUAUACGCCCUACGGGGGAAAGAUUUAUCGGGGAUGGAUGAGCCCGCGUUGGAUUAGCUAGUUGGUGGGGUAAAGGCCUACCAAGGCGACGAUCCAUAGCUGGUCUGAGAGGAUGAUCAGCCACAUUGGGACUGAGACACGGCCCAAACUCCUACGGGAGGCAGCAGUGGGGAAUAUUGGACAAUGGGCGCAAGCCUGAUCCAGCCAUGCCGCGUGAGUGAUGAAGGCCUUAGGGUUGUAAAGCUCUUUCACCGGAGAAGAUAAUGACGGUAUCCGGAGAAGAAGCCCCGGCUAACUUCGUG
rnacentral:rRNA from 1 species